CAUAUGUAUGUGUAUUCUAAAUAUUAUGAACAUUUUUAUAGAUUCUCAAGCCAAUAUACCCACUUAAAAGGAUACAAAAGAAGGCAGAAGACCAACGAGAGUUGAGUUUUACAUGGCGACUUACACGAGAGUCCUGGCGCAACUAACAAAAGCUUCAGCCAGGCGCAACUUGUUUUUUCUUAUUUCUGUUUUUCUUUUUUUUUGUGAGGUUUUUGGGUAAGCAAAGAAAGUUUAAAUCAACUUGUGGGAAUUUAGACAAUUUUAUAAACAUGCACAUAAGGACCCAGGAGAAGAAGGAGGUACGAUACGAACUUGGUGUUUAUGCAAAUUCUCGCCCCAGUGGGCUGUUGGGUCCCACACAUUCGUGUUGGGCCACCGCCAAAAAGGGAAAGAUACGUGCUUUAUAUAUAUUCAUGAAUGUAUGAAUAUCUCGCCGAGUAUAAACAGCGUAACUGAAUAAUAAUAACAACAACAGCGGCAACAGAAGCAGCAGCAGCCGCUCAGCGGGGAGUUGAAGAUGAUGAGAAAAAAAAAAAAUAAUGUCACCAGUUCAAAUGUUUAAAGAAAAGUUUUCAUCAGCUGUUCAUGAAAUGUUAAGUGUUCAGUAAAAGACGAAGAGCUAUAUAAUCCAAAGGCUGAAAUCCUCUUAUAAUAAUUAUAAUCUCCCCUAUUGAAAUGAUGAUUAAAGAAUUUGACUAUGUAAA